rnacentral:rRNA from 1 species
CCUACGGGCGGCAGCAGUGAGGAAUAUUGGUCAAUGGCCGGAAGGCUGAACCAGCCAUGCCGCGUGAAGGUCAGUGCCCUAUGGGCGUUAAACUUCUUUUGUGCGGGAGCAAUAAUGGUCACGUGUGGCCAGACGAGAGUACCGUACGAAUAAGCAUCGGCGAACUCCGUGCCAGCAGCCGCGGUAAUACGGGGGAUGCAAGCGUUAUCCGGAGUUAUUGGGUUUAAAGGGUGCGUAGGCUGUGAGGUAAGUCAGCGGUGAAAUGCCCCCGGUCAACGGGGUGAAGUGCCAUUGAUACUGCCUUGCUGGAAUGCGGAUGCCGUGGGAGGAAUGUGUGGUGUAGCGGUGAAAUGCAUAGAUAUCACACAGAACACCGAUUGCGAAGGCAGCUCACGAAUCCGCGAUUGACGCUGAUGCACGAAAGCGUGGGUAUCAAACAGGAUUAGAUACCCGAGUAGUC